rnacentral:lncRNA from 1 species
GCACGUGUUCCUCCCUGUGUAAACUCUUUUCUUUUUUUCUUCCCUCCCCAUUCAUGUCCACUCUCUAAUUCUUCCUCUUUCUCUUUUUUCUUCCCUCUCUUCCUUCCUCUCUUCUUCUUUUUCCUCUAUCUCCACUCCUUUUAUUUUCUUUUUCUCUCUACUUAGCUAGCCACCCUUUUCUUUCACUCUUGAAUCUUGACGCUUUUAAUCCUACCUUGA